AAUCUGAACAUCAGUGCUUUCUGUUUUCAACCAGUCAGGAAAGAAGGAGCUGACGGAGCCGCUGACCUUCAGCUGAUGCUGCGAUCUGAAACAGAGACUGUUUCCUCCUGGGAGCUGCAGACAGACCUGGAACCACAGAAGAUGGAGGGAAAAUAAAGAUGAAGAUAGUUUGAUGAGGCUGGAAUUUUCUAUAGCAGCUGAAUAAAGUCCUGAGAAUCCCUGAGGACUCGCUGUGCAGAUCGACCAAAGGGAGCAGACAGCAUGGCAGCAGCACAGCCUG